GACGAACGCUGGCGGCGUGCUUAACACAUGCAAGUCGAACGGAAAGGCCCUGCUUUUGUGGGGUGCUCGAGUGGCGAACGGGUGAGUAACACGUGAGUAACCUGCCCUUGACUUUGGGAUAACUUCAGGAAACUGGGGCUAAUACCGGAUAGGAGCUCCUGCAGCAUGGUGGGGGUUGGAAAGUUUCGGCGGUUGGGGAUGGACUCGCGGCUUAUCAGCUUGUUGGUGGGGUAGUGGCUUACCAAGGCUUUGACGGGUAGCCGGCCUGAGAGGGUGACCGGCCACAUUGGGACUGAGAUACGGCCCAGACUCCUACGGGAGGCAGCAGUGGGGAAUAUUGCACAAUGGGCGGAAGCCUGGUGCAGCAACGCCGCGUGCGGGAUGACGGCCUUCGGGUUGUAAACCGCUUUCGCCUGUGACGAAGCGUGAGUGACGGUAAUGGGUAAAGAAGCACCGGCUAACUACGUG
rnacentral:rRNA from 1 species